rnacentral:rRNA from 1 species
AGCAGUAGCCGCGGUAAUACAGAGGGUGCGAGCGUUAUUCGGAUUUACUGGGCGUAAAGCGUGCGUAGGCGGCUUCUUAAGUCGGAUGUGAAAUCCCUGAGCUUAACUUAGGAAUUGCAUUCGAUACUGGGAAGCUAGAGUAUGGGAGAGGAUGGUAGAAUUCCAGGUGUAGCGGUGAAAUGCGUAGAGAUCUGGAGGAAUACCGAUGGCGAAGGCAGCCAUCUGGCCUAAUACUGACGCUGAGGUACGAAAGCAUGGGGAGCAAACAGGAUUAGAUACCCGAGUAGUCCCUGUCUCUUAUAC